AAAUGUAUAUUCAUAAAAUUACCUCUUAGCUAAUCUGUUUUAUACCACAGCAAUGUUGAAUUCUUUCACAAAUUACAGAUUUAACACUAUUGCAGCUGCAAAUCACAGGUCAUAUUAAUAAACUUGUUCUAGUACAGUAUGUUAUUGUUUCAAUAGGUACAACUUACAGGUUUUGUCAUAAAUCCUGUGAUGCAAUUAAACAUAUUCUCAGUGACCUCAGAUGAGCUCAAUGACCUCAAAACCUGGAGUCAUUGUGUGUUUCAGGUGUUUAAUCAUUAGACACCCUCACCCAGGUGACUCAGCCAUAGUUUAUCAGUCCCUGGCCUGUGUUGAAGUAGCAUUUCUGGACCAUGAACUGCCCCUCCUUAUCCAGAUCCAUCUUGAUGCCUUUUAUGCAGGCUACAGGAUGUUUCUGAUGGAUCUGCAUGGUAUGUGGGAACCUGAGCUGCCUCCUUAGGUUGACCUUUGUCUAUAGUGGCAGCUUCUUCCCUGUUUUCACAAACAUGCUGGCCUGCUAUGCAGGAUUGCUCUGCUUGUACAUGUUGCUGCAUUCCCACUAUCCUGCUAGACCACCUCUUCCUUCCUCUGCACCUUCCUUGCUAUGGUCACCAUGAACUUUUCUGUCAGGCUACUGAAAGUAAGAUGUAGCUUGUUCCUGAGGCCAUAUAGGGCAAUGUUGCUAAGACUUCAUUGCAGCCCAAACUAGAGGAAGUAUCUGAUUUCUUUCAAGGCCCUUACUGCGGUCAGUGGGACAUCAGAGACCAGCAGUGGCCAGAGUAUUUGCAGUAGGAUUCCAUGUUGAUAAAUGCUUUGAAUUUCCCUCGCAGCUCAGAUAUCCACCACAGCUAGCCAUUCUCCAGUUCACUGUUUUCUUCCUGUGUCCCCAGGGAGCUCUUAACCGGCCUUUCUUUUGUUGAUGGAAUCUGGAAACCUCCAAGGUGGAAGUGGUAUUUGUCAGUAACUGUACUCCUCAUGACAACCUGGGCCUGGAUUUUGCUGGUUUUAACUGCAUGCAAGCCUAUGUAAUGAGCCUCUUGAGGUCUGUCAGGAUCCACCUACACCUUGGUAAUGAUGUUGUUGUGACUGUUAGGUCAUCCAUGAAACUUUGACACUCCACUUCAGCUGACUUGACCAACAUGUUGCCACCUGCUUUCUGACUUGACCAACAUGUUGCCACUUGCUUUCUGGCUCUGAUUACCUGUUUUUCCUUGGGGCCGAGCCAUUCAGCAAUUUUGAUAAUGAUAUUUGUUAUAUUCUGGAGCUUCUGGUCCACCUCCCUCUUGGGUGUGUUCUCCAGGAUUCCAUCCACAUCCUAGUUGAAUUGGCACCACUGUUCUCCUUGUUAGCUGCUAGCCACAAGACCCUGCAAUGAUCGUUAUGGCUGCCUUCAGGUGGAGCUUGCAGUGCUUGGAGGUUCCAGGCUUUGUGGGUUGACUCCAAGUCUGGCUAUUCCUCCAUCCAGGGACUCCUGUGGAAAGCACUGCUUGCUUCAUCCUAAAGCAUCUCAUCUGGUUCUUGCAGAGUUUGCCAAAUACACACAAUAGUUGUCAACUAACACUUAACAUGUUCUUAUAUAGAGCAUAUACAGUAGUCUAUUGAAUAUCAAAACUCAAUAAAUGGUAAAAUGUUGAGACAAAACAUACAUCAAGCAAACACAUAGCUUUUUUUUAUUUUACUGUCUAUUUUUUGAACAUAGUCCUGAACAUGCCAUUUUGGCAAGUCUUUCCCUUGUAGCCCUUUGGCUUCCUAUUGAAUGUGUUGCUUUUAAUAUUGCUGCCUCCUCUGAGGUGAUUUUGCAUGGAGACACUGGAGUCUCACAUGCAGCUGUCAUUCUGAGUUGGAAAUCCACAAGGGCUGUCCUGGAAUUGGCUCUGUCACUUUUGUUGAAAUUUAGUGUGUGGGUUAAUUUCAGUUUGCCAGAUAUGGGCUACAGGUUACAUGUGAAAAGUCAUAGUCUGAAGCAAAGGAUGAAAACUCUGAUGAGCAACUCCCAUUCCUGGCACCCUAUUACUGGAGAAAAUAGCUUUUAUUGUUGUAAUCGCCCCGUAGGCUAUGGAAACAGGAACAUUUUCCACUUCAAUCCACCUUUAGUAGUAGUCAACUGCUGGAUGAUAGACCUUCUACAUUCAAGAAAGAAAACAUCUACCCAAACUUUUCGCAAGGACCACUUGCGUAGUGCUGAUGGUAUCAUUAGAGCGCUGCUCUGCUCUAGUGCUCUAGCCCUCAUUGCUGUGCUCUAGCCCUACAUUUGGAUAUUCCCAUGUGUCCUCAAUGCUUCUUUCUAGCAUUUCUGUUGUAAGUUAUCUGGCAUUUAGUUUUGUUUAUUUGGCAGUUCCUCCUGUCUUGGCCAGCCUGUUCUAUGUACUUCAAACAGUCCCUGCCUAUAACCAGUGUCUUGUUGUUGUUCUACCACAAUCUGCUGGCAACUUCUGAUAAACUGCCUUCAUAAACACCUGUGUUUCUGCCCCAAACUCUCUCUCUGUUCUUUGUUAUAGCAUCACACUAUUGGGGCUCUGUACAAUGUAUUGGCUGUUUAAUACUUUCUCAGGAACAUGCAGUAACUAAAUCUUAGAAGUCUGAGGUAGAAUCUUUGAAUUCUACGGGGCAGGUCAUCUACUGCUUUACUUUCUAUAGUGCCAAUAAUGGCUUCUAAUCAGUCUUAAUGAUUAAAUGAAGGCACAUAUUUGCAAGACACUCCUUCUCAAUUGUACAUAAUGUUGUUCAGUGUCAGACAGAGAACGUAAAAUGAAGCUUACCGUCCACCUGCAUGAAUACCACACCUAAUCCAAAAGUGGAUGUGUCUGCAGUCACAUUUGUCUUGGCUUUGGGUUUAUAUUGUAAUAACACUGGUCUGAUGCCAGGUCAUCCUUUAGCUUUCCAAAUACUGCCUGCUGUACACCUCCCCAUGACCACGCGCUUUCUUUGGCCAGUAGGUCUUUUACACCCCCAGUAUAGUUUCAUCCCCAGCUCAAAAUGUUGUGAUCUCCCUGGACGAAACUGUGAUCAAACUAUCUGGCAGUGCACAUAACUGUCAUCCUUGUCACCUCAUCACUUACCUGACUCAGUCAUGCAGGUUUCUCUUUUACAUCAGUAGGAUCCAACCUUUCCUGUUCACAGGGGCCACUCAGGGGCUUGUUCAGUCCAUUGCCAUCUCAAGAAUGGACUAUGACAGCGCAAUCUUGGCAGGUCUGACACUGGCAACUGAUCCAAAAUGUAAGACUUGUUUUCAACCUCCCCAAAUUAUCCCCCACCACUCCAUUGCUGUGUUCCCUUCACUGGUUCUGCGUGGAUCUUAUUUAAAACACUCAUGCUUGCCUACAAAGCAAAAAACGGACCAGUGCUUCACACCCCCUCUGCACCACACUCCCUUCGAGCCUCUAGCACAGCUUUAUUGGAUCCAUCAGCCCUCAGCAUACAAGAAAGACAUGCGUCAAGACUCUUCUCUGUCCUGUACCCACCUGUACCCACCUGUCUGAGCAGCUGAGUGACUGGCAGUCUUUAAACAAAGACUAAAGUACUUGAAUUAACAGUUCUUUUAAUAAAUAAAAGUCCUUUGUCUUUUGUGUUUUUAUGCUGUACUAUCCUCCUCCAACAGUAUUAUAAGAAAUAAAUAAACAGUAAUUAAUUGUCCAAGUGCUAGCUUAGCUUUUGACUGUAGUGGUAAAUACUGUGUAUGGCCAUUAGGUUCAACUGCAUGGCAAACGGAAAAGCCUACACUUCAGAAUGAGGUAUUCCAGAUAUGGAGAACAGUGUCCAUCAAUAAUGUCCAUGUUUGGGCACCAAGUGUUAUUAACAUAGAUGGAUAUCCCCCUGGUUGAUUUCUUACUAGAGUUUGUUGUUCUGUUGAUAGAGUAGAGCAUGUAGCCUCCUAGCUCGACAGCAUAAUUGGGAUUGGGUACAAUACAAUUCAGCCAUGUUUCAGACAAAAUCAUGAUGCAGCCAUAAUGGAGAAGUUUUGGUUUGUCCAUUUUAUUAGCAAGAGACUGGGUGUUUGCCAGAAAAAUGCUAGGUAGGCAGCUUGUAUUCUGGCCCGCAUACACCACUUCUGUUCCACUCUAUGCACUGCCUGCAAAGCUUCCCCCCAUAGAUUAGGCAUGGAUUAGGACCAAUGCUGGUGUCAGUGGCCUGGUAUUGUCUGGCAGAAACCUUUCAAGAAGUUUGAAAACAAGCUGAUCACAAAUUGUUUCGAUCCAUAAGAGUUCCUGCUAACUGUAUAUUAGGUUCAUAUAUGUUUGUCGGAGUGAAACACUGAAAACAAGACAAAUAAUAAAACCUAAAGGGCUAUGUCUGUGCAAACCACCAGAUAAUCUCAGUUUAAUGAUAAACAUGUUUACAAUAACAUGUUAUUUAACAAUUGUCUGAUCAUUGAUAUGGUGAAGUUUUCUGUAAGAGAUGUUUAACAUUAAUGGGGGAGUCUUCAUUGUCAACACUUUAUAACAGUCAGGCGUAAAGCUGUAAUUUUACAUUUUCUGACAAAGUCUGUGAUAACCAUUGGAGUAAAGGAUCCAGAAGCAGAACUGACUUAAGAACUGAAGGUGAAUGGGUUUUAUUUAAGACUGAGGAGGGUAGGAAUAUGUGGGGAGAGGAGUGUGGCUAGUUGCGUCAUUUGAGGUCAGGGCUCAAACUUGGAUCAGCAACAUGGGAGUUGAGUGCUCUGCCUGUGAGCUGCGGGAGGCAGAAGUUGGGCCGGACGUGGCGAUAAACAGGCAAGCCGGCUGGGCAGGGAGUAGAUCGUACUGGAAGCCGGAACGAUCUGGUGAUGAGUGGUUGAAGAACCAGGGUGCUGCUGUCUGGUGAAGAGAUGAGAAGCAGGUGGAGAAAAGAAGAAGGGGAAAACACAAGGGAGCGGGGGAAGACUGUGGAAGAAAAAAAGAGACUGGUGAGGAAACAACUAUUUACACAGUGCUGAAAACACAAGCGAGGGUCUCCAAGAAGAGAACAAAACAGAUGCCAAACCUUAUUGUGAAAUCGCAGAAACCAUUUUCCACCAGAAGGAAAUUGGACAGUGACUAUGAGGCUGAAGUA